GACGUAAUCUGCCGCAAAAAUGUUGCGGUCUCGCAAUUGGAUAACUUGGCGAAACGCCAAGCUAAUACAUGAACUAAGGGACGCGUUCUGUUCCGGCGGUGGGGCAACUCACCGCCUUGGCGCGUCCGGCGAAUGAAUGAAAGUAAAACCAACGCCUUCACCGGCAGUAACACUUAGAAGUGCUGACUCAAUUCAUUCCGUGCGAAAGCUGGGUUUUUUACCUGGCGUCUUUUGACGAACAACUGCCCUAUCAGCCAGCGAUGGCCGUGUAGUGGACUGCCAUGGCGUUGACGGGAGCGGGGGAUUAGGGUUCGAUUCCGGAGAGGGAGCCUGAGAAAUAGCUACCACUUCUACGGAGGGCAGCAGGCGCGCAAAUUGCCCAAUGUCAAAAAAAAACGAUGAGGCAGCGAAAAGAAAUAGAGCCGAGAGCGCCUUUGGCGUUGUCGUAUUCAAUGGGGGAUAUUUAAACCCAUCCAAAAUCGAGUAACAAUUGGAGGACAAGUCUGGUGCCAGCACCCGCGGUAAUUCCAGCUCCAAAAGCGUAUAUUAAUGCUGUUGCUGUUAAAGGGUUCGUAGUUGAACUGUGGGCCUUUGAGGCGCAUUGGUUUUGUCCCGUCCACUUCGGAUCGGUGACCCAUGCCCUUGAGGUCCGUGAACACACAGAACCAAGAAACACGGGAGUGGUACCUUCCUGAUUCUCGCAUGUCAUGCAUGCCAGGGGGCGCCCGUGAUUUUUACUGUGACUAAAAAAGUGUGACCAAAGCAGUCAGUCGACUUGAAUUAGAAAGCAUGGGAUAAAAAAGG
rnacentral:rRNA from 1 species